rnacentral:tRNA from 1 species
GCACUGUUGGUCCAGCGGUAGGAUAUUUGCCUUCCACUUCUUCAGAAGCAAGGUCAGCAAAUGGCUCGGGUUCGACUCCCGGACAAUGCA